AGGAGAAAGAUUUGCGGCUGAAGGAGUUGUACUAGCGAAGUCGCUCCUCAGCGUGAGGACUGGC
rnacentral:sRNA from 1 species